CAGAAAAUAGUUUAAAUAAAAAUAUAAACUUUGGGAGUUUAAGAUGGAUAUAUUCCUUUUUCUGA
rnacentral:tRNA from 1 species